CUUGGGUAUGCUCAGUAAGCAUGUCACUGAAGAUUACCCGGUGAUUUUCAUAUUGGACACAACCACAUGCCUUGCUUCUCCUGACAAGCAGAUGAUGGGGACAAGAGGUGACAUCGGAAAGUGAGCUGGGGCCAAAAGGUUUUCUACCAAAAAAAGAUGACUUUCAUUGUGAUUCUGCACUUGGGGAAGAGGAGCUAAGACAGACAUAAUUAGGACAACUGAUGAAAUUUGAUAUGAAUUAGACUGGUAAAUGUGGUUAAAAGUAAGUGAUUCCCUUCCCAAAGUGCAUUCCUCUGCAUUGGAAGAAUCUGAACCAACAAAUGAAGAUAAACUUAAAGAGAUGAAGAGAUGCACAUAAAGUGGUUUGUCCAUUGUCCUCAAAACAUACCAAUGAGAGAAAUGAUUUGGACACAUGCAUUUUGUGCUUUUCCAGGAAGGGAUGAUGGUGAGUACUAAGUCCCAGCCCAUUCUGACAAUGAUCCAUCUUCAUACAGGAAAGGGAGAUCAAUACAUCAAUACUUGAAUAAUCCCCUAAAGAGUGAUGAUUAACAUAUUUUUAAUGUGCUCAAAAAUCAAAACACCCAGUCAUACAGUAAAUGAGCAGCUGGUCUUGGAACACAAACUCCCAGUCUUAAACAGUACAGUGGACAGUGUAGAGAUCAAAGCAUGCAUGGGCUCUGAGCCAGGCUGGCUGAAUUUGAAGACCUGCCAUCUCUUCAUAGGUAUGUGCCCUUGUGCAUCCUCAGACUCAGUCUCCUCAUGGGAGAAGUAGAUUUGUUAGAAACUACUGCAGAAGUUUGAUGGAAAGAGUGAAAAAAUAACUCACAUUCAAUCUGUUCCUGGAACAUGGUUGGUGUGUGAUAAACAUCUGCUGUUAGCAGUAAUAGAAUUAGUGAUAUCUUUUAUGAAACUGGAUGCUGAUGUUAUUCUCUGAAAAAAAUGGUUAUUACCCAGGCAGCACUUACAACUGUGGUUCAGAGGCUCAAGUUUAAGCGCAUAAGCACCAAAUGGAGUCCUGUAACAUCUGUGAGUAAGUCAUUUCUUCUCAGAUCAAAUGUUAACUAAGAGAAGUCUGUAGAAGGUGUGCACUCAGCUGUGGGUUCAGAACCAUACUGAAAUGACCCCCACUGAAGAGAGCCGCGCAAGGCCCCUCUGCUGCCGCGACCUCAGGGCUCUGCGCUGACCCCGCCCGGGCGCGGGAUGCCCAGGCCGCUGCGAGGGGCGAGGAAAAGUCGGGGUUGAAGCCCCGCUGCGCCGGGGCCGCCGUCCCUGAACAAUUGGUGGGAGUUAGCACCGGAUUUUACUGUUUGUGACCCUCUGCUCCCCACCCUCGAUAUACGCCACACCCGCGAUUUACCUUGAAAAUCUGAACGUGGAUUAAUCCAUGUACAGAUCUCAGAAAGGAGUGGUGGCUUGGCUCCAAGUAAGAGCACAGUGCAUGUGUCCAACUUGCCCUUCUCCCUGACAAAUGACUUAUACCGGAUAUUUUCCAAGUAUGGCAAAGUUGUAAAGGUUACUAUAAUGAAAGACAAAGAUACAAGGAAGAGUAAAGGGGUUGCAUUUAUAUUAUUUUUGGAUGAAGACUCUGCAAAAACUGCACCAGAGCCAUAAACAACAAACAGUUGUUUGGUAGAGUGAAAAAGGCAAGCAUUGCUAUUGACAAUGGGAGAGCAGCUGAAUUCAUCCGAAGGCGAAACUACUUUGAUAAAUCAAAGUGUUACGAAUGUGGGGAAAGUGGACACUUUAAGUUAUGCUUGUCCAAAAAAUAUGCUCGGAGAACGUGAGCCUCCAAAGAAGAAAGAAAAAAAGAAGAAAAAGAAAAUUGCCAAAGCAGAAGAAAUUGAGGACGUAGCAGAAAGUGAAGACGAAGGGGAAGACCCCGCUCGACAGUCUCAGCCAAGCCGUCGCCUUCUUGAAAGCCAAGAUUGGAGAACAGAACAAACGGAAACACAGUGCAGCAGGCCCCUCAACAUCAGAAGAUUCACGGCGCCCAAGGAUAAAGAGGAGCACGUACUUCAGUGAUGAGGAAGAAUUUAGUGAUUAGAGUUGUAUUAUGUAGAUGUCAGGAAAAUAAAAAUCAUCUGCAGUACAAAUUAUUUGCCUAUAGGAACAUUUAAUAUCAAAUAUUUUUUUUUACUG